CUUCCGUAGGGGGAACCUGCGGAAGGAUCAUUACAGAGACAUUGCCCCUUGGGGUAGAUCUCCCACCCUUUGUUUACCUUACCUUUGUUGCUUUGGCAGGCCCGUCUUUGGACCACCGGCUUAGGCUGGUCUGCGCCUGCCAGAGAACCCCAAAUUCUUGACUUUUUGUGUUGUCUGAGUAAUAUUAUAAUAAGUUAAAACUUUCAACAACGGAUCUCUUGGUUCUGGCAUCGAUGAAGAACGCAGCGAAAUGCGAUAAGUAAUGUGAAUUGCAGAAUUCAGUGAAUCAUCGAAUCUUUGAACGCACAUUGCACCCUCUGGUAUUCCAGGGGGUAUGCCUGUUCGAGCGUCAUUUCAACCCUCAAGCUUAGCUUGGUAUUGGGUGUCACCUGGUAAUGGGGUGCAUCUUAAAAUCAGUGGCGGUGCCAUCUGGCUCCAAGCGUAGUAAUUCUCUCGCUUUGGAGAUUUAGAUUUGUGGUUGCCAUCAACCCCUAAUUUCUUAAAGGUUGACCUCGGAUCAGGUAGGGAUACCCGCUGAACUUAAGCAUAUCAAUAAGCGGAGGAAGGA
rnacentral:rRNA from 1 species